AGUAGGUGAGCUUCUCCAUCCCUGUCUGUCUAGAUGCAGAGAACCCAAAGCCCUGCAGGAUGGCAAAGCUGCAACAUGGAAGUCACCCGGAUCACCACGUAAAGGAAAUCUCUCCAACCAGGAACAAACACCUGCCUUGCAAUAUUAGGUGGCCACCAGACUUUCUCUGCUUGUAUCCUCCCAGGACCACAGAACUCAUCGCAUCCCAAGGCAGCCUAUUCCAUCAUGGAUGAGCUCAAAGUGUUUGAAAGUUCUGCUUUAUCAAAGACAAGGUCUCACUAUGUUGCCCUGGCUGGUCUGUAACUCCUGGCCUCAAGCAGUCCUCUUAUCUCAGCUUUCCAAAGUGCUGGGAUUACAGAACUCUUGAUGGCCUGCUUCCCAUCCUCCAUCCUGGAAGACUGAUCUGAAACCCCAGGAGGAGGUCCUCUGAGCCCUGAGGCAGAGAUCUCUCACCUGGAAGAUGGGUCUAAUGACUGCGCCCCACACACACCAGAGAGGACUGCAGAUAGUGCGGGAUGAGAGGAAGAUCUCUGGCCCUGGAGACAGCAUCAUCAAGCGGUAGCUUCAUCUUUGGGAGCUGGGGCCUCUGCAGGAGCUUUACCCUCCUCUCUCCAUGCUGAGCCUGUCUCAACCCCCUAACCUGCACCCCAGUCUUUUGGGGUCACCUCAAGGCUUUGGCUGAUGCUUCUUUGCUGACGUCAACCAAGGUGAUGGACCCAUUUGUCCUUGUAAAGUAACUCUUGAACAUACAGGCACUUCUCCCUCCCUCCUCUUGCUUUGAAGGGUGGGUGGGCACCUGCCACCAUGGUCAGGGUGAGGGCCAGCCCCAUACCCCCAAUGUCAGAAGGCAGCUGCCCCUGGCCUGUGGGUUUAUCUCAGAGGGGCCAGGUUUUCCUCACUGUGUGUCCCCAGCACCUAGCCUGGGGCCCAGCCCAGGGUCACACUCAGUAAAUACUGGCUGAGAAUUAAGGGGGAACUUUCUCGUUCCCCUCCAACACUUUUCUUUUCUUUUUUUUGAGACAGAGUCUCACUCUGUCGCCCAGGCUGGAGUGCAGUGGCGCGAUCUCGGCUCACUGCAACCUCCACCUCCCAGAUUCAAGUGAUUCUCCUGCUUCAGCCUCCCGAGUAGUUGGGAUUACAGGUGCCCGUCACCACAUCCGGCUAAUUUUUGUAUUUUUAGUAGAGACGGGGUUUUGCAUGUUGACCAGGCUGGUCUCGAACUUUUAACCUCAAGUGAUCCACCCGCCUUGGCCUCCCAAAGUGCUGGAAUUACAGGCAUGAGCCACCGCACCUGGCACCAAUGCUUUUCUGCAAGUGCUAGUGUGUGCCAUAGAGACAUCUGUGCAUGCCCAGGGGCGGCUGAGGGGCCAUAAGCCUCCUUUGACUCCAUUAUCUUGCCUGUGCAGGCCAGACGAUUGCCUGAACCCACAAUAGCUUCACCAGAAGAGGGGCUUACUCAUCACUUCCACACAACCUGUGCCCCUCCCCCACUGGGACCAGCUGGGGUUGAGGGGGUGAGGGUCAGGCUGGGGAAGGCUCCUGGAGAUUGCAUUUGCAACCUACCCCUCCCCUGCCAACCUCUAUUACCACACUGAGAGGAACAGGGAGACAUCACUAAAUUGAGGACCUAGGUAGAGAGAGAAGAAGAGAGUGUCCUGUCAGCCUUCAAAGGUUAUUCAGAGCUCUUGGUGCAGGAAGGCCCUGCUAGAAAACUCCAAGAGUCCAGGAGGGCCUUGGGCAUAAAAGCUCAGAGUUGUCCUCAAGAAGCAACUGCAUGGCAGUUAUAUCAGAUGCACAUUCAACAAUAAUAAUAGCAAAACCUUACACAGACCUACAAGCCCUUAUCCACACUUCAGAGAUCCCAGUGUUUCUGAACAAAAUAAUGUAACACCAAAACUCAUUGGGUAGCCAAAACCUAACCUGAACAGAUGUAUGAAUACUCGUAUAUUGUUUUCUGCAGAAAUAUUAAUGUGUUUCGUUAUGGGAUGCUAAGCCAGAUCCCACUACCCACUAGUGUGUUAUAUAAGUCAUGUGCUUUCCAAAAUCCCAAAACUCCCUAAAUUCCAAAAUGCAUCAGGAUCCUGAGACACUGGAGUUUCAGUUAAGGAGUUGUGACCUGUGUAGCUUCCUCCAUGACAGGCACUGUUCUAACUGCUCUCCAUAAUAUUAAUUCAUUCAAUCCUUACAAUGACCUGACAGAGUAGAACUUACUAUUAUUCUUCCAAUUUUAUAGAUAAGGAAACUGAGGCAGAGAGAGGUAAAGUGACUUGCCCAAACACAUACAGCUAAUGAAUGCUGCAACUGAAGCUUCCAGAGCCUAGUUCCAGAGCCCACUCUCCGAACAAGUCUACCAUCUAUUUCCCUUAAAAGGGCUGGUGAGGCCGGGCGCAGUGGCUCACACCUGUAAUCCCAGCACUUUGGGAGGCUGAGGUGGGUGGAUCACCUGAGGUCAGAAGUUUGAGACCACCCUGCCAACAUGGUGAAACCCCAUCUCUAUUAAAAAUACAAAAAUUAGGUGGGCGUGGUGGCGGGCACCUGUAAUCUCAGCUACUCGGGAGGCUGAGGCAGGAGAACUGCUGGAACCCAGGAGGCAGAGGUUGCAGUGAGCCGAAUCCGUGUCAUUGCACUCCAGCCCAGGCCAACAACAGCAAGAAUUCGUAUUAAAAAAAAGGCUGGUGAGAGGGGCGUGGAGGUUGAGGGGUGUGGUAAACUGUAGGAGAUAACGAUUUUAUGUUGUGUGUGUGCUAUGGUUUGGAUGUGGUUUGUCUCCUCCAAAAUGCAUGUAGAAACUUGGUCCCCAAUGUAAUGGUAUUGGGAGGUGGGGCCUUUAAGAGGGGAUUAGGUCAUUAGGAGGGAUUAAUGCCUUUCUCACAGGAGUGGGUUAAUUCUCACAGAAGUGGGUGAGUUAUUGAGAGCAGUUCAUUACAAAAGUGAGUUUGGCUUCCUCGGCUUUCUCUUGCUUCCUCGGCUUUCUCUUGCUUCCUCUCACCCUACGAUGCAUUCUGCUGUGUUACAACACAGCACGAGGCCCUCACCAGAAGCUGACCAGAUCCAGCCACCCUGUCUUGGACUUCCCAGCCUCCAGAACUGUAAAAAACAAACCCCUUUUCUUUGUCAAUUACCCAGUCCCAUGGGUUCUAUGACAGCAACAGAAAGUGGACAAAUUGUGUAACAUGCACAUGUCCAGGAGGGUGUGUGAGAGGUAAUCCUGUUGUUACGGUUGUUCUGUAGGGUGACCACAAUUGGGAAUUUCCCUGGGACUGUUUUGGUUUUAGCACUGAAAACUCUGUAUUUCAAUAAACUACUCAGACCUGGUAAACCAGGAUGGUUGGUC
rnacentral:lncRNA from 10 species